UUAAGCGACUAAGCGUACACGGUGGAUGCCCUGGCAGUCAGAGGCGAUGAAGGACGUGCUAAUCUGCGAUAAGCGUCGGUAAGGUGAUAUGAACCGUUAUAACCGGCGAUUUCCGAAUGGGGAAACCCAGUGUGAUUCGUCACACUAUCAUUAACUGAAUCCAUAGGUUAAUGAGGCGAACCGGGGGAACUGAAACAUCUAAGUACCCCGAGGAAAAGAAAUCAACCGAGAUUCCCCCAGUAGCGGCGAGCGAACGGGGAGCAGCCCAGAGCCUGAAUCAGUGUGUGUGUUAGUGGAAGCGUCUGGAAAGGCGCGCGAUACAGGGUGACAGCCCCGUACACAAAAAUGCACAUACUGUGAGCUCGAUGAGUAGGGCGGGACACGUGGUAUCCUGUCUGAAUAUGGGGGGACCAUCCUCCAAGGCUAAAUACUCCUGACUGACCGAUAGUGAACCAGUACCGUGAGGGAAAGGCGAAAAGAACCCCGGCGAGGGGAGUGAAAAAGAACCUGAAACCGUGUACGUACAAGCAGUGGGAGCCUCUUAAUGGGGUGACUGCGUACCUUUUGUAUAAUGGGUCAGCGACUUAUAUUCUGUAGCAAGGUUAACCGAAUAGGGGAGCCGAAGGGAAACCGAGUCUUAACUGGGCGUUAAGUUGCAGGGUAUAGACCCGAAACCCGGUGAUCUAGCCAUGGGCAGGUUGAAGGUUGGGUAACACUAACUGGAGGACCGAACCGACUAAUGUUGAAAAAUUAGCGGAUGACUUGUGGCUGGGGGUGAAAGGCCAAUCAAACCGGGAGAUAGCUGGUUCUCCCCGAAAGCUAUUUAGGUAGCGCCUCGUGAAUUCAUCUCCGGGGGUAGAGCACUGUUUCGGCAAGGGGGUCAUCCCGACUUACCAACCCGAUGCAAACUGCGAAUACCGGAGAAUGUUAUCACGGGAGACACACGGCGGGUGCUAACGUCCGUCGUGAAGAGGGAAACAACCCAGACCGCCAGCUAAGGUCCCAAAGUCAUGGUUAAGUGGGAAACGAUGUGGGAAGGCCCAGACAGCCAGGAUGUUGGCUUAGAAGCAGCCAUCAUUUAAAGAAAGCGUAAUAGCUCACUGGUCGAGUCGGCCUGCGCGGAAGAUGUAACGGGGCUAAACCAUGCACCGAAGCUGCGGCAGCGACGCUUAUGCGUUGUUGGGUAGGGGAGCGUUCUGUAAGCCUGCGAAGGUGUGCUGUGAGGCAUGCUGGAGGUAUCAGAAGUGCGAAUGCUGACAUAAGUAACGAUAAAGCGGGUGAAAAGCCCGCUCGCCGGAAGACCAAGGGUUCCUGUCCAACGUUAAUCGGGGCAGGGUGAGUCGACCCCUAAGGCGAGGCCGAAAGGCGUAGUCGAUGGGAAACAGGUUAAUAUUCCUGUACUUGGUGUUACUGCGAAGGGGGGACGGAGAAGGCUAUGUUGGCCGGGCGACGGUUGUCCCGGUUUAAGCGUGUAGGCUGGUUUUCCAGGCAAAUCCGGAAAAUCAAGGCUGAGGCGUGAUGACGAGGCACUACGGUGCUGAAGCAACAAAUGCCCUGCUUCCAGGAAAAGCCUCUAAGCAUCAGGUAACAUCAAAUCGUACCCCAAACCGACACAGGUGGUCAGGUAGAGAAUACCAAGGCGCUUGAGAGAACUCGGGUGAAGGAACUAGGCAAAAUGGUGCCGUAACUUCGGGAGAAGGCACGCUGAUACGUAGGUGAAGCGACUUGCUCGUGGAGCUGAAAUCAGUCGAAGAUACCAGCUGGCUGCAACUGUUUAUUAAAAACACAGCACUGUGCAAACACGAAAGUGGACGUAUACGGUGUGACGCCUGCCCGGUGCCGGAAGGUUAAUUGAUGGGGUUAGCGGUAACGCGAAGCUCUUGAUCGAAGCCCCGGUAAACGGCGGCCGUAACUAUAACGGUCCUAAGGUAGCGAAAUUCCUUGUCGGGUAAGUUCCGACCUGCACGAAUGGCGUAAUGAUGGCCAGGCUGUCUCCACCCGAGACUCAGUGAAAUUGAACUCGCUGUGAAGAUGCAGUGUACCCGCGGCAAGACGGAAAGACCCCGUGAACCUUUACUAUAGCUUGACACUGAACAUUGAGCCUUGAUGUGUAGGAUAGGUGGGAGGCUUUGAAGUGUGGACGCCAGUCUGCAUGGAGCCGACCUUGAAAUACCACCCUUUAAUGUUUGAUGUUCUAACGUUGGCCCCUAAUCGGGGUUGCGGACAGUGUCUGGUGGGUAGUUUGACUGGGGCGGUCUCCUCCUAAAGAGUAACGGAGGAGCACGAAGGUUGGCUAAUCCUGGUCGGACAUCAGGAGGUUAGUGCAAUGGCAUAAGCCAGCUUGACUGCGAGCGUGACGGCGCGAGCAGGUGCGAAAGCAGGUCAUAGUGAUCCGGUGGUUCUGAAUGGAAGGGCCAUCGCUCAACGGAUAAAAGGUACUCCGGGGAUAACAGGCUGAUACCGCCCAAGAGUUCAUAUCGACGGCGGUGUUUGGCACCUCGAUGUCGGCUCAUCACAUCCUGGGGCUGAAGUAGGUCCCAAGGGUAUGGCUGUUCGCCAUUUAAAGUGGUACGCGAGCUGGGUUUAGAACGUCGUGAGACAGUUCGGUCCCUAUCUGCCGUGGGCGCUGGAGAACUGAGGGGGGCUGCUCCUAGUACGAGAGGACCGGAGUGGACGCAUCACUGGUGUUCGGGUUGUCAUGCCAAUGGCACUGCCCGGUAGCUAAAUGCGGAAGAGAUAAGUGCUGAAAGCAUCUAAGCACGAAACUUGCCCCGAGAUGAGUUCUCCCUGACUCCCUGAGAGUCCUGAAGGAACGUUGAAGACGACGACGUUGAUAGGCCGGGUGUGUAAGCGCAGCGAUGCGUUGAGCUAACCGGUACUAAUGAACCGUGAGGCUUAACCUU
rnacentral:rRNA from 1 species